rnacentral:rRNA from 1 species
GAUGAACGCUAGCGACAGGCUUAACACAUGCAAGUCGAGGGGUAACAGGGUAGCAAUACCGCUGACGACCGGCGCACGGGUGAGUAACGCGUAUGCAACCUGCCUAUAACUGGGGAAUAGCUCCCUGAAAGGGGAAUUAACACCGCAUAACACUAUUGAUUCGCAUGGAUUAGUAGUUAAAUGUAGCGAUACAGGUUAUAGAUGGGCAUGCGUGACAUUAGCUAGUUGGUGAGGUAACGGCUCACCAAGGCUACGAUGUCUAGGGGUUCUGAGAGGAAGGUCCCCCACACUGGUACUGAGACACGGACCAGACUCCUACGGGAGGCAGCAGUGAGGAAUAUUGGUCAAUGGGCGCAAGCCUGAACCAGCCAUGUCGCGUGCAGGAAGACUGCCCUAUGGGUUGUAAACUGCUUUUAUAGUAGAAGAAACACAUCUACGCGUAGAUGUCUGCCAGUAUACUAUGAAUAAGCAUCGG